ACAACAGACAAAAAUAUCUAGAACUCUCCAGACUUCUGCCUGUAGGAUGCCAAAGCAAUGUUUAGGGAAGCUGUUAUUUUCCAGAAAAGCUGCUUCUUCCUCCCCCCAGGCUCCCAGUGUACCUAACUGGCCACUAGAUGACAUCCCAGGCCUCUCCAAGUGCCCAUUUACAAUGCUAAGUUGACACUACUUGCCCUCCAUCCAAUAUUAGACCUGAUUGUUUUCUGCUAGACUACAAUCAAGAACAAGGUGAUCACUGCCUUCUCCUGAAAAGUCAUUAGAGGAGGUGGUCAAGCCACAAGGAUAUGUCAUAACUUCAGAAAUAUGUACAAACUUCACUGCAAGGAGGCUCAGUUGUGGCUGUGAGGAGCUUCAGAACUUCUCUCCAUUGAUUGCCAUGGGACAUUUGUCUUUCUAAAGCCAUGCUUCAGGUGCUGUGUGGAUGGGGAGAAUUUGAGCUGCGUUAUGUUAUGGUUCAAAUAAUCUUCUAAUGCCAAGAGGU